AGUGCGAAUGAAUUAUACAAAUGCGUUGAGCUGUAUGUGGACAUUCAUCAACACGUACGCUUCCAGUACACACACACACACACACACACACACACACACACACACACACACACACACACACACACACACACACACACACACACACACGCGCCCAUUCUCCCCUGCGGAUCUCGGUGUGAAAGGCUCCCAGGCUCAAUUCUAAUUUCAUCUCCGAUCUCUUUUUCAGCAUUGAUCAUCAUACACCCUGUGCGGCACAAAGUGGUAUUGAGAGGGGGGCCAAUAUGUGACAUUGAUUGGUGGAAUAAUGGGGCUUCAAGAAGAGUUGAACACAAAGAGCGAGCGCCACAGACGAGUGUACCAAACGAAAGCUGCCUCCAUCCUCUUCAGGCACCAAAGGCCCACCUGGACAAAGCGAUGGGGGAGAGUGAACACAGUCGGGGGCGCAGUAGUUUGACUCCUGUUCUGUUUCCAACACUAAAUAUGUUGUUGGUCCAUUUAGAAAAAUGGACUCAAUUGUUUCUAAAACUCUGACUAGAACCAUGUGGAUCCGUCCCAGCAGGCAGCUGUAAGCCAUGUGUCAUCGUUAGGCAGUAAUAAUCAGAAUGAAUGUAUUCACAUUAACCUACUCACAACCAUAACUGUGUGUUACCUCCAACCCUGACAACAAAGGUCCUUUAACUUUAAAGCUAAGUCUAAAUCAUCUCUUUUGUGACUAGUUGUGACUAAAACCAACCUUGACCUCCUUCAUUCUACUAACCUCUGCCUGUGUUUCUCAUUUAAAGGCCUCCAGGCCAAAGGGCCUCAGUAGGGAGCAGUGUGUUUGCCAACCCAGCUACACCAGCAGCAAAUGCAUUUAGCCCGUCGCUACAUGUGUAGUCAAAGUUCCAGAGGUGUGUAAACGUGGUCUCCUCUGAGCCGCUUCCAGCUGUAGUUAACCUCGUCUGUCCUCCUGCUGCUGCGUCUCUCAGUCUAAUAGUGUGCGUCUGCGUUUUAGCCUUCCUUACACAGCGGUUCACUGUACAGGCU
rnacentral:lncRNA from 1 species